CGGCACCCUAACACUACAACUAGUGGCCAAAAUUUGUGAGUGUCCCCAUGCACACCAGGAAAUUCAGAGACAUGUUCUCCCGUCGUUCAUUUACCAAUCUGAAGCUGGACCUAUAUCUGCCUGCAAGACAGACUUGGUCAAGCGCACGGUGAAAACAAGCCCUGGGGGGAUACCCAGAUGUUUUCCUCAUUUUUACGGUAGUAAAAAGAGUCCCAGGAGCCGUUCUGUGUGCUUAUACCUGAAGUGAUCAAAUGAGAAACGGACGAAGUCACAGCUUGCGUUUAAACCUUUAUGGGUAGGUUAAUCUGGCUAAAAAAAACGAAAACCAUUUUUUUAUGAUUUUCCCCGGAAAUGAGGAAUGAAAUAAGAAAGAGGUAAAAUAAGCGGCCAGCAGUGCGUCCCCCUCGCCUUUUUUCUGUCACUGUCGCCAAACUGCUCGUCUCAGCACAAAUCGGAAGGUAGCGCUGGAAAGUGUAUGAAAUUUCCUACAAGGUGAUUAUUUUUACCAUUUUUACCAGAUCUAAAGUACAUUUGAAAGUACCGAUUGAAACAUUCAAAACGACAUCAAAUGUGCAAUCGUGGAUCAAUAUUUGAGUCAGUCCUUCAAGAAGACACGUGCUAUAAACCAGGGACGUGUUUUCUGAUACUCCUGCCUAUAUCAAAAAUGUAGUGACUUUCGACGUGAAUCGGGGCCGCCUUCUGCUCGUCCGCCAUGACACGAGUGGUCGUCGCCAAGCCAGGCCUGCGCACGAGGCUAAACACGCUGCGCCGGCUGUUGAUAAACAACACAAUAGGCUUCUUACAGUAAACGUUAAAAUAACUUUCUUGCUGUUGCAUUUGUGUGUUGGUCGGAUUUAAAACAAAUAUAUUUCUAAUUAUUUGGUGGUGAAUUUCGUUUUCCGUGAUGGUCUCUUUCAGUUGGCUCUUUUUUAUCGUCUAAAGUAAGUUGUAAUGCCAAGUUGCGGUUAUGUUUCCCUGUGUACGUUUGGUAGAAGUUUUAACAAUAUUCUUUCAGAAUGUCAUUGUUAAUUUGUACGUAUUGCUCUAGACUUUUCCAUAUUUCGAUUUUUCCUGACUGUGUGUUCGGGUGCAGUGAAUGUGUGAACCGGUGAUAAUACCAACAAUCUACUGACUUGUUUAUACUAUGUCAACUGUGUGCUCUAUUGGGAAAGCUGCUGUGGACAACAUUGUUUGUAUUGAAAAUGACUACCCACGAGAUAAACUUACUCCAGAACAGUUGCGUUUGCUUCGUUUAAGGACCGGCUCUAUGAGGAGGGUGAUACGAAGCGGAAUAGAGUUUGAAAUCAAGUUGGACCACAAAGAUGAGGCAAAACUACUCGAUCUUAAUCCUUCAUUAGACCUUAUUAUGGGGAAGAGACUGUAUGUCAUGCAAAACCUCACUGCUUAAAUAAUUCAAAGCAAACGUAAUAGAUGCACCUUCUAAUGCUAUCGUCACCGAGCUAAUUAUCAACCACAUCUGCCUCUGUACCUUCUUAGACUGUUGAGGAAGAUAAGCAUCCGCUUGAACCAAAACAGCCAAGUCCUGAUUAUAUAAAUUACUCUCAAUCAUGUUUAGGAAAUUUAAAUAAUUGGCUUAAGUCAAAGGGUGAAGAGUACGUAGAUUUUCAAAAGCUUGUCAAUAAAAGACCUAUUUAGUGCAGCAGUUGGACAAAGUAAAAAAGGGUGUUAAAAGUUCGUGCAAGUGUUGAUGAUAGUGAAACAAGUUCAGUUUCAAGUUGGUAUGAAAAAUCAGUACAGUAUGAUGAAUUUGUUUAUCAAUUACAAGAAAAUAUUAAAUCAAGUCAAAGCAAAGCUGAUCACAUUCAUGCUUUGAGUGUCCUGCCUAGAAGUCUUUCUGUUGAAGAAAUAAAGACAAAGUUUCCUCCAGUUUCAAAUAGACUUGCAAGAAGGACCCAGGAACUCCUUGAUAAAAAAGGUAAUUUAUGUACGCCUAACAAGAAAAUAGGGAGGCCAAUAGGUACAGAGACUGUUCACUAGGAACUGAUUUUUAUUUAAGACAAGAUGUGUCUAAAGAGAAGGUUAGCAAAAAUCAAGUAAUUAGUGUUAAAAGGAGUGGCCAAGGGAGUGACGGUGAGAGGGUGAGAAAACAGAAGAGGCUGAUUCUAGAUAAUAUUGUGCAUUUGCAUCAAGAGUUCAAGAGGGAAUUUCCCAAUUGUGAAAUAUCUCUUCCCAAAUUUGCACAACUUCACCCCAAGGAGUGUGUACUUGUGCCUUCUUGUGGAGUGCAUAAUGUGUGUGUGUGUGUGUUCCCCAUGAGAACUAAUGUUCCACGGUGCAGGUUUGAGAACCCCUUUUCAAAAAAUCAACUGAUUGCUUAAAAAAAUUAAUGUGCUCUCCACCUUCGGUUAGUUGUAAUCUGAGAACAUGUAAGGAGUGCUGUGGUAAAAGUAGUGAACUUCGUGACCAAUUAUUGCCCUUAUGUGAUCAAAGUUUUAUUGAGGAUGUGACAUUUAACCAUUGGAAGUCGACUGACCGAGCCAACUUACUGACAAUCACCUGUUCUGUUGAAGAAUUCGUUGAGCGCUUCAUUAACCAGUUACAAAAACUAAUCCCGCAUCACUUCAUUUUUAAAACCCAAGCUGAAUAUUUCCGAUUACUGCAAGCAAAUCUAGAUAAAGAAGAAAAUCUAGUGGUUGGUGAUUUUGCAGAAAAUUACUCCUUUGAUGUUCAAGAUAAGGUCUAUGCUUACUAUUUUGGUCCCAAAAAAACAAUGCACAAUCCACCCAUUUAGUGUUUAUUUUAAGGGCUUUGAAACUGAUGAAAAGAAGCAAUAAUCAUUUGCUGUCAUUUGCUGUCACGUGAAUUUGACUAUCUCAUCCACGAUUUACCGACGUGUUCGUGUUGAUCACGUCGAUUCAACGUGACGUCGACAUAAAUGUCUCCACGUACAACCGUGCUACAUGCAGAUCUGAAUCUCAUACGGUGUCUUCUUUUCUUCGUGCGCAACGAAACUCUCCAUGCAUGGUAUCGUGGCGGAAUUUUUUGAAAGGUGUUCUGUCAAGAACACCAUCUGAGUAUUCUUCAAUGAAGAUGACGAAUGAAAAGCGUGUGCUCUGUCACAUGAUAAAUGUCUAGCAGUUUCGUUGGCGCUGUUUUAAAAUGAGAAGCAAAGCUACAUGUGAGACCAACUGGUACGAGCAACUAAAUCAAGUGUUUCGAGGCAAUCGACGUGAGAUCAACGUGGAAUCGACGUGUACACGACAGACGAACUGAUACACGUCGAUUCGACGUAGAUUCCACGUCGAAUUGACAGUAUACUGGAAUAUGGCGUUCAGAACACUAAAAAUCCCAUUUAGUGAGAAAUGUUGAUGCGAAAAUGGUUCCAUCUUAUUUUAUUUGCAACUUUUUAGAAAGGUAAAUAGUGGUGGAUGUCUGGUGGAUGUAUUCACCACCACGAAAGGUCCACGAAACCACUUCGACGCAUCCGUGCAACACUGGCGAAUCUGUUUAGGACGGACAAACAAGGGCGAAUCUGAGAAGGACGGACGAACAAGGGCGAAUCUGUUUAGGACGGACGAACAAAGGCGAAUUUGCUUUUUCAGAAUUCCCGCAGACCUAUCUUUUGAACGCUUCUUGCUCUUCGAUGGAUCACUUCAGUUGAGGUCGUAUUCUUUUGAAGGCUCAAUGACGGGUGCAAUGAUGCUUCGUUCAAAGUGAUCUGACGCCAAAUCGAGGAGUGAGAGAUAGAUCUCCAGAAAUUCUGAAAAAGCACAUUCGCCUUUGUUCGUCCGUCCUUAGCAGACUCGCCCUUGUUAGUCCGUCCUUCACAGAUUCGCCCUUGUUCGUCCGUUGUAAACAGAUUCGUCAGUGUUGAACGGAUGCGUCGACUUGGAAUCCACGUCUUUUCCACGACCUAUUUCUCUCUGUGGAUAUAAAGGUUUGAACGCAAGCUGUGACCUCGCUCGUUUCUGAUUUGAUCACUUAGGUAUAAGCACCCUCCUGUGUUUCCCAGGAAAAUGUCAUGGGUUUCCUAGUAGGUCUCCUGGGAAAACCAGGAAACCCCUGGGAAACCAAUUCACCUGGGAAUCCCAGGGCUCGGUUGUACUGUGCGAGCACUGCUGAAAACAGUUUCGCCAGCCGGCGGCUUGCUAAGAAAGACUCAGUUGAUGCAGUUUUCUAAGCGUUUGAGUCUUUGUCAGUAGCCUCCCGCCGGCCAACCCGUUUUCAGAAGCGGUCGGUCGGCCAAGCCUUUCUGUGAGGAAGGUAUCGCUUCCCUAUACUUUAUACCUAUACUUAUACCUAUACUUUCCUUGCGGUUCGCGUGGAGCAGUUCACUGAAAGUAAGAAUCUGUCUCUGAAUUUCCUGCAUGGAAUAAUUUGGGAUGACUUAAGUUUGUCUCGGAAAACGGUCCACGACCUCUGGGGAGUAUGAGAGGUCUUUAACCGUUCAAAGGUAAAGGAUAGGCCAGCAGUGUAAAAAAUUUGUUUUUCAAUCGAAACCGUCCUGGUCGUUGCUACAAGACAGCGCGGCACAGUAGGAAAGGGAGGGGGGCGGGGGGGAAGGACAGCGUCAUGGUUCAUCACAACCUGUUCCCCUUGAUCCGCGUCUGGCUUACAGUGAACACCUUGCUCUCUGAGUGGGGAUCAUCCAUAAAGUACGUCCGCUCUUUUCACCCUCAACACCCCCUCCCCCCUUUUCAGACGUCCAUUUUCAAUUAGGCGUCCCCAAAUAACAAUAUCAGUUUCUAUAUGUGAUGGUAGUAAGGAAAAUGUUUAUCGGGAGGUGAAUCAUAUUUCUACAGGUCUACUAGUGCACGGUAAAAACAAUAUCUCAUUUUUCUUUUUCUUUUUUUUGGAAAAAUGGAAACCUUUGAGAAACGCGCUCUAAAUCUUUUACAAUGAUUUUUUUCGUAUAAUGCAAAAAAAUUGGACGCAACCGUAAUACACAGGAAAUUUCCUUGUAUAAAAAGUUUUCUUUGUAUAACAAUGAGUUUUCUUUGUAUUACAAAGAAAAUUUGUCUUUGUUUUACGGUUGCACAAAAUUCUUUGUACUAAAUACAAGAAUUUUCUUUGUAAGGAUUUAGGAGUGUGGUCUAACGAAUACCGCUCAUAUUUCGACGAAGUCUCCUCAAAAACAUGUGAGAUUUUACCUCAGUUUUUCUGAUUCCUCGUGGGAGUUUUCCUCAGAUAUAGGAGUUCAAAGUUUUCGCCCUUUUCCCUCAGCAAAAGGGACAUAAUUUUUAGCCCGCCCUUCUGCUUUGAAAAAGCUAUUCAGCGGGCUUAUGCAAACGACCUUGUGUGUGUCUGUAUGUCUGUCUGUGUGUCUGUCUUUCUGUCUGUUCCACUAGAAGGAGAUGUGCUAGAGACUUGAAA